AGAGCAGUUGGGGGGGUUGGUGUCGUCCUCCAAGUCCAGGUACUGAAUCCCUGGAAGCAUUUUCUCUCUUUGCCCUCACUUCUAGUCGAUGGGGCUCAAAGGGCAAGUCCACGUGAGCAGCCCGGCUGACGGUCCUGGAAGCUUUGUGGGGAUGACUAAGCAAGCAGACCAACAGUUACAAAGAAACAGGGGACCAGAACAGUGUGCCACUCCGCAGGGAGCAGACAAAGGACAAGGACUCAAGCCUCUGAUAGCGGAAUCCAGUAUCUGAUCACAUGGAAGCACAAGCAUGCUGUGGCCCAAAGAAGAGAUUUUUUUUCAACUCGUGUAAUUAAACCUCUUGAUCACGCAGCCCUUGGGGCAGCAGGUCGCAUUCUGGUGGUUUGAGACAGGCAUCCAAAGCACACCUAAUGAUCACCUGCAGGCUCGGCCCCCAGGAGCCAAGCCGCAACCCAACCGGAAGAGUGUGGACAGGUG